rnacentral:misc_RNA from 1 species
GAUUAAGAACGCAUCGAAAUGCGAUAAGUAAUGUGAAUUGCAGAAUUCAGUGAAUCAUCGAAUCUUUGAACGCACAUUGCGCCCGCCAGUAUUCUGGCGGGCAUGCCUGUUCGAGCGUCAUUUCAACCCUCAAGCCCCCGGGCUUGGUGUUGGGGAUCGGCGUGCCCUCGCGGCGCGCCGUCCCCUAAAUCUAGUGGCGGUCUCGCUGUAGCUUCCUCUGCGUAGUAGCAACACUCGCACUGGAUCGCAGCGCGGCCACGCCGUUAAACCCCCCACUUCUGAAAGUUUGACCUCGGAUCAGGUAGGAAUACCCGCUGAACUUAAGCAUAUCAAUAAGCGGAGGA